UACGGAGGUGGCAAGCGUUGUUCGGAUUUAUUGGGUGUAAAGGGCAGGUAGGUGUCCUAGUAAGUUCUGGUUGAAAUCCUCCAGCUCAACUGGAGAACGUGUCAGAAUACUGCUAGGAUUGAGUGCGGAAGAGGAGAACGGAAUUCCCGGUGUAAGGGUGAAAUCUGUAGAGAUCGGGAAGAACACCAGUGGUGAAAGCGGUUCUCUAGUACGUUACUGACACUGAACUGCGAAAGCUAGGGGAGCAAACAGGAUUAGAUACCCUGGUAGUCCUAGCCGUAAACGAUGAGCACUAGGUGCGGGCUCGCAAGGGUCCGUGCCGCCGUUAACACAUUAAGUGCUCCACCUGGGGACUACGGCCGCAAGGUUGAAACUCAAAGAAAUUGACGGGGACCCGCACAAGCGGUGGAGCAUGUGGUUUAAUACGACGCUACGCGUGGAACCUUACCAGGAUUUGACAUGCACUUGAAAUCCCGAUGAAAGUCGGGACCUCCUUUAAAGACAGGUGCACAGGCGUUGCAUGGCUGUCGUCAGCUCGUGUCGUGAGAUGUUGGGUUAAGUCCCGCAACGAGCGCAACCAUUGUCUUUAGUUGCUAACCAGUAAUGGAGCACUCUAGAGAGACUGCCGGUGUUUUAACCGGAGGAAGGUGGAGAUGACGUCAAGUCAGUACGGCCCUUACAUCCUGGGCUACACACGUGCUACAAUGGCCGGUACAAAGGGCAGCAAAUCCGCGAGGAUGAGCAAAUCCCAAAAAGCCGGCCUCAGUUCAGAUUGAAGGCUGAAAUUCGCCUUCAUGAAGUCGGAAUCGCUAGUAACCGCGCAUCAGCUACGGCGCAGUGAAUACGUUCCCGGGUCU
rnacentral:rRNA from 1 species